rnacentral:rRNA from 1 species
AUACGGAGGGGACAAGCGUUAUUCGGAAUCACUGGGCGUAAAGGACGCGUAGGCGGGCUAUUAAGUCGGGUGUGAAAUCCAAUGGCUCAACCAUUGAACUGCAUUCGAAACUGAUAACCUAGAGUAUGGAAGGGGCAGGUGGAAUUAGUGGUGUAGGGGUAAAAUCCGUAGAUAUCGCUAGGAAUACCGAAAGCGAAGGCGACCUGCUGGGACAUUACUGACGCUGAGGCGUGAAAGCGUGGGGAGCAAACAGGAUUAGAAACCCCAGUAGUCC